rnacentral:rRNA from 1 species
AUUGAACGCUGGCGGCAUGCUUUACACAUGCAAGUCGAACGGUAACAGGCCGCAAGGUGCUGACGAGUGGCGAACGGGUGAGUAAUGCAUCGGAACGUGCCCAGUGGGGGGGAUAACGCAGCGAAAGCUGCGCUAAUACCGCAUACGAUCUAUGGAUGAAAGCGGGGGACCGUAAGGCCUCGCGCGAUUGGAGCGGCCGAUGUCAGAUUAGGUAGUUGGUGGGGUAAAGGCUCACCAAGCCAACGAUCUGUAGCUGGUCUGAGAGGACGACCAGCCACACUGGGACUGAGACACGGCCCAGACUCCUACGGGAGGCAGCAGUGGGGAAUUUUGGACAAUGGGCGCAAGCCUGAUCCAGCAAUGCCGCGUGCAGGAAGAAGGCCUUCGGGUUGUAAACUGCUUUUGUACGGAACGAAACGGUCCUGGUUAAUACCUGGGGCUAAUGACGGUACCGUAAGAAUAAGCACCGGCUAACUACGUGCCAGCCGCCGCCGUAACAC